rnacentral:rRNA from 1 species
CCCUUAGAUGUUCUGGGCCGCACGCGCGCUACAAUGAUGAAUUCAACGAGUUUAUAACCUUGGUUGAAAAGCCUGGGUAAUCUUUUGAACUUUCGUCGUGAUGGGGCUAGACCCUUGCAAUUAUUGGUCUCCAACGAGGAAUUCCUAGUAAACGCAAGUCAUCAGCUUGCAUUGAUUACGUCCCUGCCCUUUGUACACACCGCCCGUCGCACCUACCGAUUGAACGGUUUAGUGAGGGCCUCGGAUUGGUCUCGGCCCGCUCUUUACCGGGCGGCGCCGUUGGUCGAGAAGACGCUCGAACUUGAUCGUUUAGAGGAAGUAAAAGUCGUAACA